UACGUAGGGUGCGAGCGUUAAUCGGAAUGACUGGGCGUAAAGGGUGCGUAGGCGGUUUGCUAAGACGGAUGUGAAAUCCCUGGGCUCAACCUAGGAACAGCGUACGUGACUGGCAGGCUAGAGUAUCGAAGAGGGGGGUAGAAUUCCACGUGUAGCAGUGAAAUGCGUAGAGAUGUGGAGGAAUACCGAUGGCGAAGGCAGCCCCCUGGACCAACACUGACACUGAGGCACGGAAGCGUGGGGAGCAAACAGG
rnacentral:rRNA from 1 species